UACGGAGGGUGCGAGCGUUGUCCGGAAUCAUUGGGCGUAAAGGGCGCGUAGGCGGCGGGGUCAGUCGGGUGUGAAAUCUUGGGGCUUAACCCCGAAACGGCACUCGAAACUGCCCGGCUGGAGGGCCGGAGAGGAGAUCGGAAUUCACGGUGUAGCAGUGAAAUGCGUAGAGAUCAAGUGGAACACCAGUGGCGAAGGCGAGUCCCUGGACAAUACCUGACACUGAGGCACGAAAGCUAGGGGAGCAAACAGG
rnacentral:rRNA from 1 species